ACUCAGUCUGGCAAAAGUGUCCUCUACUUUUCUCUGCUCAGUAUAGCUGACGGACCAUGCUUUUCCUCUCAAUGUCUUCCACCUUCUUUUGCACAAUUUUGUUUCUCCCUUGAAGACCUGGGUAUUGUGUGCUCAGUUAGAGAGUCUAAGAUUAAAAUACAGAGGAAGGAAUUAACAGGUUUGACCUAUAACUCAUAAAACCUCCUGUGUAGAUACUUCUCUGUCCCAAAACCAAAUUCCUUCUGCACUGUUCAGUUUUACAGGUUAAUAGUUUGUCGUUUGCUUGAACACACAGGAACUCGUUGGCAAUUCAUCAUUCUGCCUUAGAUCCUUUCGUUGAAUAGGCAGGUCCUGGUAAAGCUGACCUUUGCACAGGUUUAAUGUUUCCCCUUCACACCUUCAAGGCUGAGGAGUUUGACUGACAUCAAUAAUUAAUUUUUGAACAAAUACGGCACACCUUUUCCUAUGGUUCCUCUCAAAGAUAUGAGUCUUUGUGCAUUGCAACAACAGGUAUGUUAUGAAAGGGGGGAGUCCAAAGGACAUUGGUGGGUAUCGAAGUCCAAGAUUCAGCCUGUCUCAGUGCAGUUGCUAACGGUAUGUCUCACUUCAGCUAUGCUGUCAUGUCCAUAGACAAGGUGCCACAGACAAGACGGAAAGGUAUGUGUGUGCACUGCAAAGGCCAGUGCAUUCAGGACAGGUUGCACGAACUGUACUGAGCAACUCUAAAUAGCUGCUUUGGGCACAUGCAAUAACUGUGAUGGGGGGUUCUGGAAGCAGAGCCACUUCAGAUGACUAGUUACGACAGGGAAGUUAAAAAAAAAAAAAGAGAUUCUCAGAUUUUACCCAGGCAAAAAGUUCCCAGGGGAAAAAAACAAACAAACAAACCCACAACUUGUCUUUGUCAACAGCCUCAUGGGAACUAAACACUCCCAUGAUGUAAUGGGGAAAAGGGGUGAAGAUGAUCCACUGAAAGAGAGCAUUCAGUUCUCCUGCGUAUUUGACUAUUGUUCAUCUCUAUGUUAUUGAUUUGAACUGGUCACCAGCAGCGGCAUGAAUAAAACUUCAAAAAUUCAAACUCCUGGACACUGAAAAGCUUACUAAGUGUGAGGCUGAAUGACCCAAACUCUGAAAGGAUCUUUGUUAAGCUGGCUUUGACUUUGCCAAUAUGUAUAAAUAUAUGUUAGCAUAUAAGAAAAAAAAGAGUUCAGGAAAGGAAAGCCAUUACAAUGCACAGGUAACCUGUCUCAGCUUUUGCUAGCUUGGUAUUUGUUAUUAUUAUUUAUGUUCUUACCAAGGACAUUCAGACUUCAGAAUAAGACUAGCUCUAAUCAUUAUUAUUUACUUUGCCUGUACACAUUUCAACUUAAAUUCCUCCAUUCCUGUGUACUAAGCACCAUUAAAAUACCACCCUGAAAACUUGUGCAAGCAACCGUGCCCAAUGCCUUCAGCUUGCAGAGUCCUGUGACCUGAAUCCUAAACCCUGCUAGCCCCAAUUCAACCUUGACAGAAACUGGUCUGGGGAGAAAGGAGGAAUCUGAAUGACAGGUGCUCUUGUCAGCAUCCCUCGCCUUUGAGGGGAGCAUAAAUUACGAUGCAAUUUGUAUUGCAACAUAAAUCAUGGCUGCCUCAAGCUCCACGUAAUUCCUCUGGUGCAGAGUCUGCAGUUCAUGUGAUGUGGUGGGGGCUGGGGGUACAACAGAUGGUAGUGAAGAAACUAAGGGACAAGUGACGCUGAUUCUGCAAACAUCAGCGUCCCAAAAGAAGUGAUGGCCAAGGGCAGUUUUCUGACAGUGGCAACUCUGCAACAAAAGACAGACAGAGGACAAGAUUUUCAAAAGACAUUUAGGUGUCUGCGUGCAGAGAGGCAGAGACUGGAUCAGUUAUAGAAGAAGGUAUGCAGAUGCUUUGGAACAACUUAUUCUGAUUUCUAGAUAGAAAGUAGAACCUACUUUCUAGAGUUCUGGGAAGAACUCUACAGCCAAGUCUGGUGAGGAAAUCUGGGCUGUUACUGGUAUUAUGUUGUUAUGAGAUUCUGUGCAAAUAAAGCUGUAUCAUAGCGAAGGAGUUGGUAUGACUGGACACAGUGUCUGUGACUGUUCUGGAGCAGGGAGGGAAAGCCAUCUGCUUCAAAACUCUCCUUUACAUUUACCUCCUGGGCAAUGCAUCUGUGGGAGUUUCAGGGUGCUCAGCACCAGGGCAAAUCACAUCAUCUUAAUUCUAAGGAUGAACUGGAGCAUGCUAUUCACUUAUGCCUUGCUCUUGAGGUGCCAUAGGCGUCUUGCAGAGCAAACUCAACAGGAAGCCAAAUCAUACUGGUGACUUAUAAAAACUUAGAUUCCCAGGUAAGACAGGCAAUCACCACCAGUCUCUGUACUUGAGUAUGACAAUGCAGCUGUGCCACAAGCCCAUGCAAUCAGGGACUCCGAGUACCGAGGCAGAAAAUCCUCCUGAAUCUUGCUGUCAGGAUGUUUUGACCUCAUUCUAGGUUAACGCUUGCGUAUGCUGCUUGAGCAGAAUGUACUGUAAUGACCAGACACCAAAAGAAUAGCAAAGGUUGCUAUUUCAUGGCUUUUGUAGGACAAACUCAAACAUACAGGCUAAGGCUAGUUAACAAUGACUAUUGCUGCUUUGUUUCUUAACAGUAUAAUUCCUGGGGGUUGGGGAGGAACCAAGAAGUAGCCGCUACUCCUCUGGAUAUGAAUGGAUACUUGAUCUGAAACAGCUGAUAAAAUAGUUGAGUGUUCUUAUAAAAUAAAUCCUGCCUUCUGAAGAAGCUGCAGGAAAAGGAUUUUUCGCAGCUUCCAUGGUCUUAGAGCAAGAUUCCACAGGAUGGAGGUGGGACAUGUUUCUCAUCUAGUCGUGCUCUUAAGUAAUGUUCUUGUCACAAAACCCUCAAAAAAUGGCAGUCACCUGGCACUGAAACAGAUGUCAUUGUUCUUCAGCCAGACUCCACUUCUAAUCCUCCUUUUUUUGUGUUUGAGACAUGCUGUAACCAGAAGAGAGGAGGGAGAGGGAAGUCCGGGAGAAGCUGAGACCUCUACUGCACAUACCACAAAGAGGCACCAGAGUGGAAAGCCCAGCUGAGCUUUGAGGAGCCAGCAGGCUUGGAAGCUUGUAAGCAGAAAAUCUGCAGUAGGCCAAGGUCUGCAUCACAGUGAUACUUGGUGCUUCCACCAUGUGUUUCACAUGUCCUGACACACAACCAGAUACUUCCCGAGACAUGCUUCACUCCACAACCAGCUAGUCCUUCAGCCUCUCCUGCAGUGAAACAAAUCACCUUAACACCUUACUGGGAAAUGAUGCUUCUCACUCUGCAGAAAGGUGGAUUAAAAAUAGAUGGAAAGGAACUAAAAACCAUUCAAAGACCCAAAGAUUAAGCCCAGGAGCUUUAGGCACAAGCUGCCAGAUCCACAUCUCAUGCAAUCACAUGCAUGCAAGGAAAGCAAACAGGCUGUGUCUUCGAAUCAUGCCUGCAUACCUGUUGAGAACUACAUGCUCUGGUUCAGCCAUAUGUUAUUGAGCUUGGUGCAGGAAUUAUAAGCAGUAGUUCUUUGGGCUCAGCUAAGACUUGAAGGUCAGCCCUCAUUAAUGCAACAUUGGCCUUAAGAAAUGUGUGAUUCUUUACCCUGUGCCAGACUGAAUUUGGAAGGUCAAUCUGCAGCAAGUCCUUCUUCUGCCAUCAAAAUUUUGCAAUAGAGAGCAUGACUUCCUCUUCUCAUAAGGUUACCAGGUUUUGGGCCGACGGUCGACUCUGGAGGAGCAGGCCAGGCAGAGCACAGUACUGCGAGGUCCUGGGCAUCUCCAAGGCCUGGAUUCGCAUGGGAGCUGGGAGUGCUGAAUGCCUCGUAGGAGUAUUUGGAACCGAACACAAUGAAGCCCAUGGAAGAACAAGGAGGUUCAGGCAUUGCCUCUUAACGUCUGAUGUGUCCACAGCACCAUCCCAAGGAAAGACAGUUUGGGCAGAGACAGGCACUGUAUGGUUGACUUGAGCUUGUUAACCUGCUGCCAGCAGAGGAUCGCCUCCAUUCACCAUGGUACUUCUGAUCUCUACAGCACAAUUACCUUCCCGCUGUUCAUGUGCUUACCCACCGCUAAUGAGUGGACACAGAGAAAGUAUUAAAAGCAGGAAGGAGCAGUAUUAAAUCCCACUGGAAUAUCUGCAGGCUUGCCAAGAGCUUUCUUGGCCUUCUCCGCAGGAUGAAGGGGAAAAUUCUGAGGGUCAUUUCUUACUUCCAGGGUUUCUUAGUCUCCUUUGACCACUAAUAUGUUCUCUGACUUCAUUUUAAAGGAUUGAGUUGUACAACUGGAAGAAUCGUUUUCUCACCCAUUAGCCAUUUGACACAGAGAUAGAUUCUCACAAAAAAAUGAAACACAGCCUCUUACUGUCUGCCCCAUCAGCACUGAGUGGUCCAACAUAGCUAUGUACAUCUUUGAAGUUAGCAGCAUAAGUGCGCCAGGUCUUUUUAUAAGGUUGCAUGUGAAAUUGUCAGAGGAAUGAAACCAUUUGCAGAUGGUGGAGUGAUAAAGAUGGUACGGUAUCUCACUUGUAUGUGCCCUCAUUUCCUUAGGAAUAGAAGAAAAGGAAAAUGGGAGGAGGGAAAAAAAAGCAGUGGAAGGAAGGAGACAAUCUAACAAAUGCAAUUCUUUUGACAACAGUGUUGAAGGAGUAAGUGAGAUUCCUGGCAACACCAACAGGACUCCAAAGACUAGCUGACUGCUGCAAUAUUUAUUACUUUGCUUUGAUGAAACCUCUGACAUCAAGGACUUUUCUUAGUGACUGAUUUUUGUCAGAAUAAUGCUUCAGGAACUGAAUGUGACAGAAAAUUUUUUUUGGACAUGAAGCCCGUGCAUUAUGGCAGGAGAAAGAAGACAUAAAAAAAGCUGCCUUGAAGCAGCUUGAUGUGGCCCUGGAGAAAAGAGCUGUUAUCACUACUUACUGAUGUAGUCACAGCAAGAGCAACUGUUACCAAAAUGUAAGUAGUAAGACAGAUAGUCCAGCAUCAGUCAUGUUCUCUACCUGUUGCUCUCCCUUAUCAGAGCCCAGUGGAGGCUGGAACUGGCACAAGGAAACCAGGUUGAAGAAGCAUUUGGAAAGUACUUCCACAAAUGAAAUAGAAAUUGGCUUUAUUCUGCAGCCAUGUCAGCUCUACUCCAUGUUUUCUAAUACCCCAACAUUAUAUGCAGCAACCGUAAAUGUGUUGAACGUUAUGUACACUGCUGGGGCUUGUGACAAUGAAGAGGCUGUGAAGUGCCCAGGCAAUCCUACACCUCCCCAAAACCUCUCUGGUUAUACAUGGCUCAAGAACAUGCUCCUUCUCUGGCACCCUGAGAAGACUUCCUUGCUGGGAGACUGAACAGGAUGAACACCUCAGCAGUGAAAAAGGGAUAGUCCUGGUCUGCUAGGCUACACCACAUUGGUGCAGGAGUCCGACAUAGUGCUUUGGGUUUUAUGUGCCCAUUUUGAGCAGCCUGCCAGAAUAAGUAGUUGGUCCUGAAGACCGCGCCUAUUGCCAUCUUCUUUAGGUAGCUCUUCCUUUCUGUCCACUUGCCUGAAACUUCUGAGUGCCUACCUAAGAGCUGCUCUGCCACAGAAAAAGGGCUGAACCUGUGGAUUUAGGCAGUACUUUCUUAACAGGCAGCGGCACUAUCAGAUAAGCUUCAGGCUUUGCCUCGGUAGCAACUGCUGAUGCAGAAGGCAAUGCUAUUCCUCUGCUUGCUCCUCUGCACAGCUGAAUGCAGCAUGUGGAGGGUAGAAGGAUGCUCUGAUGUGCCUACAGCUGUGACUGUAGGUCUUCACAGAAGAACAGAACCUCUAGGAAAAAAAAAUGCUUCCAAACUAGCUGUAGUAUCAUAGACGUUUGUGUGUAGUCAGCUUCUCAGGUAGUAAUUAGAACGAAAUGAUUAGAGAGACUACAUACAGAGAUGUAGUCUAGAAUAGUGGAAAAUAUUUUCAGAGUAAGUAUGUGACCUUUUGCUGAUAGAGAUCUUCUGAUGAUCUGAAUCUCUGUUAUCAAAGUUGCACUGCACUUGUUUGGAAAUUCUGAGAUUUAUUCCUUUCAAAACACACUUUGAUUAAAAUUUUAGCCACCCUUAUUUCAAGUCCACAGGUCUUUGAGAUGCUAGCCUUGGAGAAACCUACACUGAAAUCUUUGGCUUAAGGGAGAUAUUUGUUCUGCUUUUUUCCUAUCAAAAGAUUCCAGUUGAAAAUCCGAGAUGGAGUUACAGUGCUCUGCUGCAGAACUGUUGUUUUAAACCUCGAGGCCAGUGUGGUAGUAAGAUAUGCUAAUCUUCUCUGGAUACCUCCGUAUAUUUCUGUGUAUUGUAUAAACACACCUUCCUGCUUUGAUUACACCUCAUGCCGUGUAAUCACGUUUGCUUUCAGUGGGAAUUUUGCAAGGCAUAUGGUUGGUGUUUGGAGGAGAAAAAAGACAAAAUCUUCUCAGGCCCCAAACUAUGUAUUCUUAACAUCAGAUUUUGCUUUGACUUGCCUAAUAUGGACUGUACCUUGAGAUGUGGGCUUUUUUCAAGAGAGAAAUGUGCUUGAAUAAAAAACAGACCCAAAUACUUUACAGUUAGUUAUAUCAUAAGUGUAGAAAGAUACCAUCCUGAAUGGUAAAUAAAACACUUACCAGUGUAGGAAAGUAUUGUUACUAUAGGGCAGUAGAUUGGCUUAGAAUGUACUGCAUGCUCCUUUAUCUUUCUGGUUAUAUAGAAAAGGAAAAACAAGCAAGCCACUAACUCUUGAAACAUCUGUAUGUGUAAGGCUUUCAGUGGGAGCCAGACUGGCAUACAGUGCAGAAUUUAUAAUUCAUACUUUCGCAAGGAAUGUGACAGGAUUUCCAAAUACCGAAAUGGCAAACACUCAGAGAUGUUGUAAAUUAACCCACAUGUGAAACCCCUGCUCUGUCCUUUCUGUUCAUUGCCUCAUUUUGGUUCGUUUGACAGGGCAGGAUUUCUCCCUGGAUCUGGGUAUGUUACAUACACCUGUCAAGCAGAAGCUUCAAGAUGGCCCCAGGGGACCAUCUUUAAAAGACACUCCUGCAAUAACAAUGAACCUACCAUACAUCUGCAGUCUGUUUCUUUAAAAGGGUCAGAGAUUUAAAAACACACUGGCCAAACCACUGCAAUUUUCACAGAGCUUACUCUGGAGCAGGGUAUGCUAACACCCAGGUUUGGACCUGCACCUCCUCCCUUGCGCACCUGGGAGCGAGGGUGGACCCCCGCUGAAGCCCAGCAGCACUACCCUGUUGUAAAGUGUGUAAGGAGAGAGCAGACAUCCCUUGUCAGGCGGUGGUGGGUGUUUUUGCACAAGUACAUUGGCCUAGGGAAGCAGUAAGCCUGCUUCUGAGUGGAGUCUGGGUUUCGGUUAUAUAGGGCUCUAAUUCACUACGAUUUCGCAGUAACCGCCCGGGUGCUGCUGAUAGCCCCUAGAACAGUACUGCAAUAGCCUGGCCCUGCUGCCCAGCCGAGACCCAGGCACACGGAGUGCAUCGGCCAGCCCUGCUACCCGGGGCUGCCUAGAGCAGCCUGCACGUUGCCCAAAGAAAAGGGCUUCCCUGGCUUCAUUCCCCUAAAAAUCCCCUUAGUUCUGGCAAUAUUUCAGACAUGAGCUCGCCUAACCUACGGCAGGGGACACACCAGAGUUUGAGGACCCCCGUUUAGUAACUUGCUUUCUGUCUGGCUCCUCCUGAGCAUGGGUGUGAAUAACAAGGACACAGGGAGUUUGUGCAAGAGGUCUGAGUCUUCAGCUGGGUGCCUGGGAGGCCCCCUCCUCCUCCUGAGGUGUGGAGUCACUGGGUCUGCACAUGCACGUCUCUAAAUCCUGUCUGCUCGCUCAGGAAUGUGGAUACCAACUCAGCCACGGGCUAAUGAAGCAGAUGAAGUGUUGCCCUUUGCUUUAAAAAGAAUAUCUUAACCCUAGCAGGACUUUGCUGACCGCUUUUAUGCAAAACCACUUGUUUGCUUUGUACACGAUGGGAGGAUAUGGCUGACAGAUAGUUUAAACUGGGCUAAAAUAUGUCACUGACUUUUUUCUUUUUUAUUGUAUUUUUGCAGCAUAUGCUGGCUCAUAAAUUUAUGAACUAUUUUUAAAGGACUCCUUACAAAAAUAAGUAUAUUUGAGCUGUUUAAAUUUGUUCUUAAUAAGUGGAAAGAUUUAGUAAAACAGGCCUGAUGUGAUGACUUGGGAGGGAUUAUUCACCCCUGAUGCCAAUAUAUUCCAGAGAGCCUGAAGAAUUAAGCACUCCGAGUGUCGAAAGCAAUCUGAAUAUCACCUAAAACUUGUGCUGAACGGAGCUCUUGUCCGCAAGGGUUGAAGGUGUCAGAAAUGCAGUGUGAGGCAGGGGACUGGAUAACAGGUGAAAGCAGGUAAGAUCUAACUUUGCAUUUUAAUAUGAGCUUUUCAGAGGGUGAUGUAGUCGAGCUCUGCAAAGAAAUCUGGCUGAUAAAGCUGUGGGGCAAAGCAUAGCUUUGAUAAAUGAUGUGCUUCACAAUUGCAUUCCUACCAAGUGCUGCUGUCACUCACUGAGCAAAUUUAUUGUAUUUUAUUCUAAAUCGUGUUGGACUGCAGGUGUUAGGAAUUUUCCUCUUGAAUCUCUUAUCCUGCUCAUGGUUUCACUUUUCUUUAAAGAAACUUAUUUAACCACUUAAAAACAGAAUUUGCUAGCGGUUUUUAAUGUUCUCUCAGAUGGGAAAGGAAUCCCAGGGAACUGCAGACCCUCCCAAUGGAUCAGUGGAUGCAGGUAGCAUGGGCAUAAUUUGAAGCAGAGUCCUUGCAGGAUGGCACAUCCUGCAAGAAGGGCUUUUCAGUGAGAUCCCUGAGGUAUUGAAGUGCUGAGAAAUAGUCAGAGGGAAUGUCAGGAAUUACUCCUGAGGAUGAAGCAUGGCCAAAGCUAGCGUUGGUAUAGGAUGCUUUUGGUAAAACAGGCAGGCUGAGUUCCACCAUUUGAUGUAUCUGCUUGUAUCAGUGUUCCACAAAGGGCAGAGAUGUCAACUCAUGUCAUGUCCGUGUCCUCUCUCCAAUCGAUUUUCUUAGGUGAGUAUUUUCCCGGACCAUAGUCCGUGGAUGGCUGGCAGGCAGCCAGAAGUUUACUGUCCAGUGGUGCUGGCUUUCUUCCUCAUGCCCACCUGUUAUAAUAUAACGUACACUGUUAAAUGUCUAUGUAAAGGUGCCCUUGAUAUAUUGCUUCUGCUGUAGUAGCUACAGGGAUGUAACAUUAUUGUGAAUGGGAAAAGGCUCAUUUAAUUGCAGAUGAACAGACUCAUGCCAUGAUAGAGCCUUGAAAAUCCUUUCUAGACCCAAUGGGGAUACUCAUUACUUUUCUUUAUGUUCAAAAUAAUUCUGUAUGUACCAAAUUCUCUGUCCAUGUGGAACUUUGUGUAGGUUUCUUGUUACUCUCUGCUUGGGAAAGUGGUGGUGUCCUUCCACACCACCACACUGAACCUUCAGUUCACCCUACUCAUACCAAAGUCAUUAUCCAAAAUCACUGACAUUCUUCUGGCUUGUAUGAAGGUACAUAGCUUCACUUCUUUUUACUGCAGCCGUUUGCAUGUUUUACUAAUGAGCAGGUAAAAGCUUACACUUCAGGAUGGCUAUUGCAACUGCAGAAAUCAGCCUUGGAAGAUGAUUAAAAUCUUCUUUGUCUCUCUUUAAGUGAGUGGGCAAUAGCAGGCUGCAGAAAUGUGAGUUGGAGCAUUACACAAAGUCAUGUUCAAGGCCACUCCAGUUGAUUGCUCUAUAAACACACUAUGUAGAGAGACCAAGGUAUCAAAUGUUUCCAGAAGUGCUGCUAGUGGCAUUGCUCCUUUAUGUUUUCCUGGCUACAGAAAUUAGUAAGUCCUAAGUGUGCCAGGCUGGUGAGCUAUCCAGACCUGUUCUUUGAUCUGUAGAAGGGUGUUUGCUAAGAAGACUAUAGAAAGUUCUACUUGGCACGUCCCCUUGUAUUACACAGCUAGUGAUCAGAGUAUAAAUUCAAAGCCUAUUUUAACAUUUUUCCUUCUGUAGUUAUAAAAAGUCAGAACAGCAUGUGGGGCUGGAGUUCUUGCCCCGGGAAGGAGGGGAAAUUCUUUACACCAGAAACAUGGAUUUCUUUUCUGGGGCUAGUGAGUUUGUGAGGAGUAAUUCAAAGUGGCUUGAGGCAAAAUAUGGUGACUAUAAGCUAACUGCAAGGUAGAAACCACUUUGAGAUUAUUCCUUUCGUUUUCAUUUUUCUCUGUCAGACAGUCGCUUCCGAAACCAAGACACAUUUUGACUGGGCUCCUGUGGAUUUUUGAGCCCUCCAUUAACCUGGAAAGUUUCGGCUAGGGCAAUGUGCUGAUUCCAGGUCUGGAAUCUCAUUUCUGCUAAACACACAGUUUCCCUGUUCGGAGCUAGGGGCUUGCUUGGGCUUCCCUAGAGCUAAAUGCU